GACGAACGCUGGCGGCGUGCUUAACACAUGCAAGUCGAACGGAGUGGCGAACGGGUGAGUAACACGUGUGUGAUCUGCCUUGCACUUCGGGAUACGCUUGGGAAACUGGGUCUAAUACCCGAUAGUGCAAGAUGAGCUCGGGGCCUAUCAGCUUGUUGGUGGGGUAAUGGCCUACCACGGCGUCGACGGGUAGCCGGCCUGGGAGGGUGUACGGGCACAAUGGGACUGAGAUACGGCCCAGAGUGCUACGGGGGGCAGCGGUGGGGAAUAUUGCCCAAUGGGCGGGAGCCUGAUGUGGCGACGCCGCGUGGGGGAUGAAGGCCUUCGGGUGGUAAACUCCUUUCGACAGGGACGCGGUACCUGUAUAAGAAGCACCGGCUAACUACGUGCCAGCAGCCGCGGUAAUUC
rnacentral:rRNA from 1 species